rnacentral:rRNA from 1 species
UUGCGGCAUGGGAUGGGGUCGCGUCCUAUCAGCUUGUUGGCGGGGUGAUGGCCCACCAAGGCGUUGACGGGUAGCCGGCCUGAGAGGGUGACCGGCCACAUUGGGACUGAGAUACGGCCCAGACUCCUACGGGAGGCAGCAGUGGGGAAUAUUGCACAAUGGGCGCAAGCCUGAUGCAGCGACGCCGCGUGCGGGAUGGAGGCCUUCGGGUUGUAAACCGCUUUUGUUCAAGGGCAAGGCACGGUUUCGGCCGUGUUGAGUGGAUUGUUCGAAUAAGCACCGGCUAACUACGUGCCAGCAGCCGCGGUAAUACGUAGGGUGCGAGCGUUAUCCGGAUUUAUUGGGCGUAAAGGGCUCGUAGGCGGUUCGUCGCGUCCGGUGUGAAAGUCCAUCGCCUAACGGGGAUCGUGCCGGGUACGGGCGG